ensembl:snoRNA small nucleolar RNA SNORA2/SNORA34 family
CUGGCUCUGGAUCAAGGCUGGCAGCUUCCUGAUGCUGUUGGUUUCAAGCAGGAGCCUAAAGAGAUGUCUUUCUAUGGUCUAUUGGACAUUGCAGAAAUUGGGCAGUGAAAUGGUCAAUCCAUUAGAAAGAAACAGCU